rnacentral:rRNA from 1 species
GUGGAUUAGAUACCCUGGUAGUCCACGCAGUAAACGAUGCAGACUAGGCGUGGGGGGAGUUGACCCCCUCCGUGCCGGAGCCAACGCGGGAAGUCUGCCGCCUGGGGAGUACGGCCGCAAGGCUAAAACUCAAAGGAAUUGACGGGGGCCCGCACAAGCGGCGGAGCGUGCGGUUUAAUUCGACGCGACGCGUAAAACCUUACCAGGGUUUGACAUGCUCCUGCAGAGCCGGGAAACCGGUUGGCCUUCGAGGGUGGAGCACAGGUGCUGCACGUCUGUCGUCAGCU